GGGCCGGAAGCUUAAGUCCGGUAUAAGCAACCGGCUCAUAACCGGAAGACAGUGAGUUCGAAUCUCACUCGGCCCACCA
rnacentral:tRNA from 1 species